rnacentral:rRNA from 1 species
UACGUAGGGGGCAAGCGUUGUCCGGAUUCAUUGGGCGUAAAGAGCGUGUAGGCGGCCAGGUAGGUCGGUUGUGAAAACUGGAGGCUCAACCUUCAGAGGUCGACCGAAACCAUCUGGCUAGAGUCCGGGAGAGGAGAGUGGAAUUCCUGGUGUAGCGGUGAAAUGCGCAGAUAUCAGGAAGAACACCAGUGGCGAAAGCGCUCUACUGGGCCAUAACUGACACUGAGGGACGAAAGCUAGGGGAGCGAAAGGG